CGGCGGACGGGUGAGUAACACGUGGGUAACCUACCUAUAAGACUGGGAUAACUUCGGGAAACCGGAGCUAAUACCGGAUAAUAUUUCGAACCGCAUGGUUCGAUAGUGAAAGAUGGUUUUGCUAUCACUUAUAGAUGGACCUGCGCCGUAUUAGCUAGUUGGUAAGGUAACGGCUUACCAAGGCGACGAUACGUAGCCGACCUGAGAGGGUGAUCGGCCACACUGGAACUGAGACACGGUCCAGACUCCUACGGGAGGCAGCAGCU
rnacentral:rRNA from 1 species